GAUGAACGCUGGCGGCGUGCCUAAUACAUGCAAGUCGAGCGAACAGAUAAGGAGCUUACUCCUUUGACGUUAGCGGCGGACGGGUGAGUAACACGUGGGUAACCUACCUAUAAGACUGGAAUAACUCCGGGAAACCGGGGCUAAUGCCGGAUAACAUUUAGAACCGCAUGGUUCUAAAGUGAAAGAUGGUUUUGCUAUCACUUAUAGAUGGACCCGCGCCGUAUUAGCUAGUUGGUAAGGUAACGGCUUACCAAGGCAACGAUACGUAGCCGACCUGAGAGGGUGAUCGGCCACACUGGAACUGAGACACGGUCCAGACUCCUACGGGAGGCAGCAGUAGGGAAUCUUCCGCAAUGGGCGAAAGCCUGACGGAGCAACGCCGCGUGAGUGAUGAAGGUCUUCGGAUCGUAAAACUCUGUUAUUAGGGAAGAACAAAUGUGUAAGUAACUAUGCACGUCUUGACGGUACCUAAUCAGAAAGCCACGGCUAACUACGUG
rnacentral:rRNA from 1 species